GACGAACGCUGGCGGCGUGCCUAAUACAUGCAAGUUGAGCGCUGAAGGUUGGUACUUGUACCAACUGGAUGAGCAGCGAACGGGUGAGUAACGCGUGGGGAAUCUGCCUUUGAGCGGGGAACACCAUUUGGAAACGAAUGUUAAUACCGCAUAAAAACUUUAAACACAAGUUUUAAGUUUGAAAGUUCCAAUUGCAUCACUCAAAGAGGAUCCCCCGUUGUAUUAGCUAGUUGGUGAGGUAAAGGCUCACCAAGGCGAUGAUACAUAGCCGACCUGAGAGGGUGAUCGGCCACAGUGGGACUGAGACACGGCCCAAACUCCUACGGGAGGCAGCAGUAGGGAAUCUUCGGCAAUGGACGAAAGUCUGACCGAGCAAAGCCGCGUGAGUGAAGAAGGUUUUCGGAUCGUAAAACUCUGUUGGUAGAGAAGAACGUUGGUGAGAGUGGAAAGCUCAUCAAGUGACGGUAACUACCCAGAAAGGGACGGCUAACUACGUG
rnacentral:rRNA from 1 species